UGAGUAAGUCGGAUGGUCGCGGGCGCAGCGCCGAAAGGCCGCGCACGAGGAAAGUCCGGGCUCCACAGGGCAAGGGUGCCGGGUAACACCCGGUGAAGGCGACUUCAAGGAAAGUGCAACAGAAAUAAACCGCUGAGAGUGUAUCUCAGUAAGGGUGGAAAGGUGAGGUAAGAGCUCACCGACCCGACGGCGACGAAGGGUGCUCUGCAAACCCCAUCCGGAGCAACACCGUGACGAGGAAUAUAGGGUUGCCCGCCUGUUCCUCAGAGGUGGCUGGAGCCAUGUAGCAAUACAUGGCCUGGAUAGAUGAUCAUUCAAGACAGAACCCGGCUUAUAGACUUACUCAUCAA
rnacentral:RNase_P_RNA from 1 species